GUGGCGUUGUGAGUGCUUUCAGCUUGGCGUUGGGCAAUUGGAUAACACUCAUCUGAAACCAGUGCUGUAAGCUGCAACCCCGACGCAAGGGUGGAUUACUCGUGGAGCAACAUUUUUGGAGCAGAGAGUUGAUGAAGAAGAACAUUAUCAAGUAAGUGUACGUCACUAUUAUUACAGGGUUGUUGGUAAUCUAGAAAACCGGGAAAGUCAGG
rnacentral:lncRNA from 1 species